rnacentral:lncRNA from 10 species
AUUUUCCUGCUCUCAGAGGUUACGAAACCAACCAAGCAAGGCAAGUCGGCCAUCAGGCUCAGCCUCCCAUGAAGCGCUCCUGACUUCCCACCCUUCCUCCAGGCCAGGAGUCUGCCAAUCACAAUCUGGGUUCUGUUUUCCCGCCUUUCCUGGCAGCACAAACCACGGCUCCGGAUGGUGAGCAAUGCAAGUUCCAGGCAUGCCUUGCUGCAUUACUGGGUUCCCAGGUGUCACUUCAUCCAGAGGCAAUGUACCCAGAAGAAAUGGAAAACCACUGGCUAGAGAAAACUACUGUCAUCAAUGCUUUCUGGGCCUCUGAAGAAGCCCAUUUCUGCUGGCACUGAGUGUGUGUUUCUCCGGGCAGGAGCUGGUAUAACAUGACCCUUGAAAGCACUCGCAGCCCUGGGCUUACAUAAGUAAUGUGAUGACUCUCUCCACAGAGCCCCUCUAGAGAUCCCACCACUCCGCCCUCUUGGAAAGAACAUUCAGUGUCUCCCACACCAGAACCCAUCCAAGGAGAGAGGAUGCCGAGGUAGUGGCUCAUCUUCCUUGGUCCCAGAGAGGCCUCGGAGCAGUCCUCUCUUGCUUCACAGCCCUCCAACUAUGCUAAGAAUGCGAACCAUUUCCCAUGGGACUGGCAAAGCCAUGAAGCAAUUCUGAGCCCAACCUCCCCAAAUAUCUGCUUUGCAAACAGAUAAAACAGAGAAGUAUCCUGAAAAUGUGCUGUUGGGCCAUUCACCUUAGGCGGUUGUGGUGUCUGCUUGCCUGCCAGGAGGGUUUCUGCUUCCACAGUCCAGCCUGGAGCUGCUGGGGAGCCAGUUUGGGAUGUGGCCAUGUUCCCUGAGGGGCAAAACACAGAAAACUCUCCGGAAGGGGCUUCUCAAGGAAAUGGGGACCAAGCAAGGCUGUGGGCUCUUUUCAGGGAUCCGGCUCCCAUCCCAGUGCUGGACUCAUUGCUGACCAGUCCUUGGGGUCACCUGGGUGCCCUUUGGCUCCUGAGAUGUCUGGGCAUGGGGCUGCCUUCACCAGCUGCAAGAGCCCAAACCCACCUCAACCAGCCUUUGGCAUCUCCAGUCUGCACCAGCUGCAAUUUUGUGGCCCGGGUGGGUGAAGGCAGUGGCAGGGGAGUCCAUGCCAAGCCUGGCAGUGGGAAGGAAGAGGAAGAGGAAGAGGACUUAACUUUCUCAGCAGCUUCAGCCUUCUGAGAAACUCUAGAAUGCCUUGCUGCACUAUGGCAGGCAUAACCAGGUCCCGGUGACCUACAUAACCUUCCAGACAUGGGGCAAGUGGGAGCCCUGAUUCAUGUCAGGGGAGCCUGACAGAGGAAGGGUGGGGGCAGGGAGGAUUUACAAUCCUGAGACGGUGAAACCACCUAAAUAUUUAGUGAUGACUAAGUGAGUCACCGCAUGUCCACAGGGUGGAAUAUUAUGUAAAA